UACGUAGGGUGCAAGCGUUGUCCGGAAUUAUUGGGCGUAAAGAGCGUGUAGGCGGCCCGACAAGUCCGCUGUGAAAGUCCAGGGCUCAACCCUGGAAUGCCGGUGGAAACUGUCGAGCUAGAGUCCGGAAGAGGCGAGUGGAAUUCCUGGUGUAGCGGUGAAAUGCGCAGAUAUCAGGAGGAACACCAAUGGCGAAGGCAGCUCGCUGGGACGGUACUGACGCUGAGACGCGAAAGCGUGGGGAGCAAACAGG
rnacentral:rRNA from 1 species